rnacentral:tRNA from 1 species
GGGCGAUUAGCUCAGCUGGUUAGAGCGUUUGCUUGACAUGCAAAAGGUCGGAGGUUCGAGUCCUCUAUCGCCCA